AACAGAGAGAUUGGGUCCUGUCCCCAGUAAUCUUCCUCAUAAUUGACCCAGGAUUUGGUCCUGGGCCUCCCACAGCCACUCCAAGCACCACACUGUACACUACCUUGGCUCUGAUGUGUCCCCUCCCCCUCCACAGGAAUGGCAACAGCACAUGAUUAAAAGAGGAGGGAAAGACCCUGGAAAGAAUAUAAGGGUUCCUUGGCAGUUGGGAGCAGCUGGAACUUUCUGAAAACGUCCCAUGACCAUUGAAAAUGGCUGGAAAUCCCUAGAAGGAUUCCACAGCAGUUGGGAGCAACUUGAACUUUAUAGAAGGACUGCAUGGCAAUGGAGAUGGCUGGAAAAUUCUAGAAGGGUUCCAUGGCAGUUGGGAGCAGCUGGAACCAUCUAGGAGGGUUCCAUGACAGUUGGGAACGGCCUAUGCUCAAGCAUCAUUUCUCUUGGCCAUGUAGAACAUUGUGAGAUGGGCCUUCUCUCCCACUCAUCUAUUUCUGGGAAGGGGAAAUGGAAGCUCGACUGGUGUCCUUUGGCUUGUUUCAGUAUCUCUUUAAGGACACAAGAUUACAUACGCAGCCUCCUAUAUGAGCUACGGCUUCCUUUUUUCUUCUUCCUGUGAAUGGUCUUGCAGGCCAGGAAUGGCCGGAAGCAUCCAAGAGGGUUCUGUCACAUUUGGAAACAGGUGGUGGGCAUGGCUGGUUCUACAGCACCCAGGAAUGGAGAACAGCUCCCAAGAGACUCCAUGGCAACUGGGAAGAGCAGUCAAGAGCUGGGAGGAUUCCAUGCCAACUGAAAAUGGCCAGCAGCAUUCCGAAUAACUACCUGUAUUCUGGCCUGUUCCUCUUUGAUUAAAAAAUCAAGCUCUGCUCAUCCUGA